CGCCUGUUGCUGCCGCCGAUUUAUGGUCCCCCAUCGAUAUCCCUCGCCUAUCGAUCUAUCUGCCGACCAUAACACCACACUACGGUUUCGAGGUUCAUUUCAGAGAAACAGGAGUGCAAAAGGAGGCUAUCUUUGCCCAACGUAUGCCAUCGUCCACACCCUGGGAUUAAGAGCCUCAUGCUCUACCGACUGAGCUAGCCGGGCUCACACUGCAGCUGUAGGCCACAUCUGUGAUUUGGCCAAUCGGGAACUCCAGAGUACAUCUGACCACGGAACUUGGUACAGUGACUGGAGAUGUUCCAGCCGGAAGAUAAAUUCCGCCACCGGCAUUCCCUUCGGGUCUCCGUCGAAGAUCAGGCCCCACCUUCGGAUGUGACUGCUCUCCUGCCUCGUAUCCCCGAUGCUCGUGCGGUUUCCUUGAUAAUGUCCACUCUCAUUACCCGUUUAUUGCAUCCAGCACGAUACGGGAACUUGUCGUUGUUAGGCUUGUUUCUGAUGUUCCGAUUCCAACGCUCGAUUAUCCACAAAAAGGGAUGAGACUACUUCCCUAAUUUCUCGCAUGAAACUUAACGUGCUGGCCUCCAUUGUCUCUUUAAAAGCGCUCAAUUCCUGCGACAGCGAUGCUCUGUAGGUCUUGUGCGCUUGGGCUACCGCUAUAGCCGACUUCAGCUCACUGGGUAGCUCCACUUCGCUCCUGGUUUGUUGCGUUGAUGACGGGGUACCCGCUACAUCGUCUCGGCUACGCAUUCCGACUAGAGAAGUACUCUCCAUUUCUUCGGUGGGUUUGGUAUUUUGUGCACGGGUAGUUGGACGCAUUUUCUCUUGCUCUCUAUCCCUCUGAAAGUCCCCGCUGCGCCGCACUUUCCUCGACUGCCUGAAUACCCCUUCGCUCAUGUGAUUCUUAAUUUUCAAUAUGUUUCAACAUUCAACAAAAAAAACGUAUAAUUAUUUAAC
rnacentral:sRNA from 13 species